rnacentral:rRNA from 1 species
UAUCUCUGUAGAGUCUGCAUAUCAAUAAGCGGAGGAAAAGAAACUAACUAGGAUUCCCUCAGUAACGGCGAGUGAAGCGGGAAGAGCUCAAAUUUGAAAUCUUCAAGGUUCUACCUUGACGAAUUGUAGUUUAGAGAAGUGUUUUCUGUUGAAGUUUCGGUAAAAGUUCUUUGGAAUAGGACAUCAUAGAGGGUGAGAAUCCCGUAUUUGACCAGUUAUUUUCCAGCUGUGUGAUACACUUUCAAAGAGUCGGAUUGUUUGGGAAUGCAGUCCAAAAUGGGUGGUAAAUUUCAUCUAAAGCUAAAUACUGGCGAGAGACCGAUAGCGAACAAGUACCGUGAGGGAAAGAUGAAAUGAACUUUGAAAAGAGAGUUAAACAGUACGUGAAAUUGUCAAAAGGGAAGCGUUUGACACCAGUGUUGUUUUCUCGAAAAUCAAUUAAAAAAGGCAGGAUUUUGUGUUGUAUUGACUUUAUCAGCUUUCUGCACUCUUUUCUUGUCUUUUUUUAAUGCACUUUUCGUUUAACAAGUCAACAUCAAUUUCUUUUGUUGUAAAAGGGUCAUUGGAAGGUGGCUUUCUUUUCGGAGAAAGUGUUUAUAGCCUUUGGCCUCUGCAAUCGGAGAGAUUGAGGUCUGCAGCGUAGAUCCUUCGGGGUUAGAUACAUUUGUGCUAAGUUAUAGCCUUUCAUAGACAACUUGUUGACUAUGAUCAGUCAUGUAGCUUACUCGCUUAUGCUAUUUUACCUACGCUUAGGAUGUUGAAGAUGUAGCACAUCAU